rnacentral:rRNA from 1 species
UACGGGGGGAGCAAGCGUUGUUCGGAUUUACUGGGCGUAAAGGGCGCGUAGGCGGUCAGCACAAGUCAGUUGUGAAAUCUCCGGGCUUAACUCGGAAAGGUCAACUGAUACUGUGCGACUAGAGUGCAGAAGGGGCAACUGGAAUUCUCGGUGUAGCGGUGAAAUGCGUAGAUAUCGAGAGGAACACCUGCGGCGAAGGCGGGUUGCUGGGCUGACACUGACGCUGAUGUGCGAAAGCGUGGGGAGCAAACAGG